rnacentral:rRNA from 1 species
AGUGAACGCUGGCGGUAGGCCUAACACAUGCAAGUCGAACGGCAGCACAGUAAGAGCUUGCUCUUACGGGUGGCGAGUGGCGGACGGGUGAGGAAUACAUCGGAAUCUACUUUUUCGUGGGGGAUAACGUAGGGAAACUUACGCUAAUACCGCAUACGACCUACGGGUGAAAGCAGGGGAUCUUCGGACCUUGCGCGAUUGAAUGAGCCGAUGUCGGAUUAGCUAGUUGGCGGGGUAAAGGCCCACCAAGGCGACGAUCCGUAGCUGGUCUGAGAGGAUGAUCAGGCACAAUUGGAAUGAGACACGGUCCAGACUCCUACGGGAGGCCAGAGUGGGGAAUAUUGGACAAUGGGCGCAAGCCUGAUCCAGCCAUACCGCGUGGGUGAAGAAGGCCUUCGGGUUGUAAAGCCCUUUUGUUGGGAAAGAAAAGCAGCAGGUUAAUACCCCGCUGUUCUGACGGUACCCAAAGAAUAAGCACCGGCUAACUUCGUG